rnacentral:rRNA from 1 species
UACGUAGGGUGCGAGCGUUUAAUCGGAAUUACUGGGCGUAAAGCGUGCGCAGGCGGUUCGUCGUGUCCGAUGUGAAAGCCCCGGGCUCAACCUGGGAAUGGCAUUGGAAACUGGCGGACUCGAGUGUGGCAGAGGGGGGUGGAAUUCCGCGUGUAGCAGUGAAAUGCGUAGAGAUGCGGAGGAACACCGAUGGCGAAGGCAGCCCCCUGGGCGUAACACUGACGCUCAGGCACGAAAGCGUGGGGAG